GGCAUUUUUUGUCUUGCAGAUAUUACUCAUCCAGGAAACGAGCUGCCAAAAUAUGUGGUGAGACCAGAAGUCAUCCUAGAACUCAUCCUAUGUGGGAGUUUCUGAAACGGCACAAGAUCGCAAAUGUUGUCCAUGAAAAUCACAUUUCAAUUCAUAAUGAUGAAAUGCUGGAAGCAGCCUGUAUAACCAUCAAGAGAGGAUUGGAUAAAGAAGAUGAAGUAUUUAUCUGCAAUGGAAUACUACUCGGCUCUAAAGAGUAACACAUCUGAGACAUUGGUAGGAAAAUGGAUGCACCUGAGACUGUAAUGUUGGGUGAAAUAAACCAGAGACACUAACUUAAAUACUGUAUGGUAUCUCGUCUGAGUGAGGCAAAGUAUCAACAAAGAAAAUGAUACAGGAUGGAUAGAAAGGGAC
rnacentral:lncRNA from 1 species